UGGGGAAUAUUGCACAAUGGGCGCAAGCCUGAUGCAGCCAUGCCGCGUGUAUGAAGAAGGCCUUAGGGUUGUAAAGUACUUUCAGCGGGGAGGAAGGUGAUAAGGUUAAUACCCUUGUCAAUUGGCGUUACCCGCAGAAGAAGCACCGGCUAACUCCGUGCCAGCAGCCGCGGUAAUACGGAGGGUGCAAGCGUUAAUCGGAAUUACUGGGCGUAAAGCGCACGCAGGCGGUCAAUUAAGUCAGAUGUGAAAGCCCCGAGCUUAACUUGGGAAUUGCAUCUGAAACUGGUUGGCUAGAGUCUUGUAGAGGGGGGUAGAAUUCCAUGUGUAGCGGUGAAAUGCGUAGAGAUGUGGAGGAAUACCGGUGGCGAAGGCGGCCCCCUGGACAAAGACUGACGCUCAGGUGCGAAAGCGUGGGGAGCAAACA
rnacentral:rRNA from 1 species